UAGGGAAUCUUCCGCAAUGGGCGAAAGCCUGACGGAGCAACGCCGCGUGAGUGAUGAAGGUCUUCGGAUCGUAAAACUCUGUUAUUAGGGAAGAACAAAUGUGUAAGUAACUAUGCACGUCUUGACGGUACCUAAUCAGAAAGCCACGGCUAACUACGUGCCAGCAGCCGCGGUAAUACGUAGGUGGCAAGCGUUAUCCGGAAUUAUUGGGCGUAAAGCGCGCGUAGGCGGUUUUUUAAGUCUGAUGUGAAAGCCCACGGCUCAACCGUGGAGGGUCAUUGGAAACUGGAAAACUUGAGUGCAGAAGAGGAAAGUGGAAUUCCAUGUGGAGCGGUGAAAUGCGCAGAGAUAUGGGGGAACACCAGUGGCGAAGGCGACUUUCUGGUCUGUAACUGACGCUGAUGUGCGAAAGCGUGGGGAUCAAACAGG
rnacentral:rRNA from 1 species